GACAGAGGGGGCAAGCGUUGUCCGGAGUUACUGGGCGUAAAGGGCGCGGAGGCGGUCUGCGGCGUCGGCGCUGAAAGCGCCCCGCUUAACGGGGCGAGGCGUGCCGAUACGCGCAGGCUCGAGGCGAGCAGAGGGUGGCGGAAUUCCGGGUGGAGCGGUGAAAUGCGUAGAGAUCCGGAGGAACGCCAGUGGGGAAGCCGGCCACCUGGGCUCGACCUGACGCUGCGGCGCGACAGCGUGGGGAGCAAACCGG
rnacentral:rRNA from 1 species